UGGGGAAUAUUGGACAAUGGGCGCAAGCCUGAUCCAGCCAUGCCGCGUGUGUGAAGAAGGCCUUAUGGUUGUAAAGCACUUUAAGCGAGGAGGAGGCUACUUUAGUUAAUACCUAGAGAUAGUGGACGUUACUCGCAGAAUAAGCACCGGCUAACUCUGUGCCAGCAGCCGCGGUAAUACAGAGGGUGCAAGCGUUAAUCGGAUUUACUGGGCGUAAAGCGCGCGUAGGCGGCUAAUUAAGUCAAAUGUGAAAUCCCCGAGCUUAACUUGGGAAUUGCAUUCGAUACUGGUUAGCUAGAGUGUGGGAGAGGAUGGUAGAAUUCCAGGUGUAGCGGUGAAAUGCGUAGAGAUCUGGAGGAACACCGAUGGCGAAGGCAGCCAUCUGGCCUAACACUGACGCUGAGGUGCGAAAGCAUGGGGAGCAAACAGG
rnacentral:rRNA from 1 species